ACAGGCACAGCAUCUGGGACACCAUAGCAUGUGUGGAAAUAAAGGAGAAAUUUGAGCAGGAGGCACUGCUCAAAGGAAAGCCACUGGGCUGCUGACCUUGUGCUCAGGCCAUUUGUGUGGGGGCUCAAACCAUGCUAAUGGUUUCCAGCACCGCUGCCCCGAGCAAUGGUGCUCAAACCUAUCAAUGUGAUUUCUUCCAGAGACCCUUGAAGUGCUUGGUGGUGUGCUGAGGAAGGUUCUUGGAUCCCAAAGCAAGAAGCAAAGCCGCUUGGCUUUGAAAAGAGGUGCGGAAAAGCUUAAGGAAUUAACGAGGACUACUGGGAAAUCACUCACCAGGAACUUUCAGUGCUCUCAACUCAGGAAAGAAAUAGGAAGAAAAUCCUUUAUGUGCACUUCUUUUUCUCCCAACAAGAAUAUAUCUGUCAAGAGAAACAGAUGUUCUCUAUGAAAAAUCUUCUUUAAUUACAAGUCUGUCAAAAGGAGGUUGAGCAGGAGCAAAGCCACCAGCCAAAACACAGUGACAAACCCACAACCGGCAGCUGAAAGCUCCUUACCCAGAGCUCAGGAC